rnacentral:rRNA from 1 species
GACGAACGCUGGCGGCGUGCUUAACACAUGCAAGUCGAACGAGAACGGAAUAUAGCUUGCUAUAUUUGUCAGCUAAGUGGCGCACGGGUGAGUAAUGUAUAGAUAACCUGCCCUUAAGAAAGGAAUAACAGUUGGAAACGACUGCUAAUGCCCUAUAUGCCUUUAAUACAUAAGUAUGCAAGGGAAACGCUUUAGUGCUUAAGGAUGGGUCUGUAUGGUAUCAGCUUGUUGGUGAGGUAAUGGCUCACCAAGGCUAUGACGCCUAACUGGUUUGAGAGGAUGAUCAGUCACACUGGAACUGAGACACGGUCCAGACUCCUACGGGAGGCAGCAGUGGGGAAUAUUGCACAAUGGACGAAAGUCUGAUGCAGCAACGCCGCGUGGAGGAUGACACAUUUCGGUGCGUAAACUCCUUUUAUAUAGGAAGAUAAUGACGGUACUAUAUGAAUAAGCACCGGCUAACUCCGUGCCAGCAGCCGCCGUAACAC